rnacentral:rRNA from 1 species
AACGUAGGAGACAAACGUUAUCCGGGGUUACUGGGCGUAAAGGGCGUGUAGGUGGUUUCGUAAGUCUGGCGUGAAAUUUUUCGGCUUAACCGGGAAAGGUCGUCGGAUACUGCGGAGCUAGAGGACGGUAGAGGCGUGUGGAAUUCCGGGUGUAGUGGUGAAAUGCGCAGAUAUCAGGAGGAACACCAAUGGCGAAGGCAGCUCGCUGGGACGGUACUGACGCUGAGACGCGAAAGCGUGGGGAGCAAACAGG